AAUCCCGUGAACCAUCGAGUCUUUGAACGCAAGUUGCGCCCCAAGCCUUCUGGCCGAGGGCACGUCUGCCUGGGUGUCACAAAUCGUCGUCUCCAUCCUUUGCGGAUAAGGGACGGAAGUUGGUCUCCCGUGUGUUACCGCACGCGGUUGCCCUAAAUCUGAG
rnacentral:rRNA from 1 species